GAUGAACGCUGGCGGCGUGCCUAAUACAUGCAAGUCGAGCGAACGGACGAGAAGCUUGCUUCUCUGAUGUUAGCGGCGGACGGGUGAGUAACACGUGGAUAACCUACCUAUAAGACUGGGAUAACUUCGGGAAACCGGAGCUAAUACCGGAUAAUAUUUUGAACCGCAUGGUUCAAAAGUGAAAGACGGUCUUGCUGUCACUUAUAGAUGGAUCCGCGCUGCAUUAGCUAGUUGGUAAGGUAACGGCUUACCAAGGCAACGAUGCAUAGCCGACCUGAGAGGGUGAUCGGGCACAAUGGAACCGAGACACGGGCCAGACUCCUACGGGAGGCAGCAGGAGGGAAUCUUUCGCAAUGGGCGAAAGCCUGACGGAGCAAAGCCGCGGGAGUGAUGAAGGUCCUCCGAUUGGAAAACCCUGUUAAUAGGGAAGAAAAAAUGUGUAAGUAAAUGGUCACAUCCUGACGGUACCCAAUUAGAAAGCCACGGCUAACUACGUG
rnacentral:rRNA from 1 species